rnacentral:rRNA from 1 species
AAUGACGCUGGCGGCAGGCCUACACAUGUCAAGUCGAGCGGGGGAAGGCUAGCUUGCUACUGGACCUAGCGGCGGACGGGUGAGUAGCUUAGGAUCUGCCUAUUAGUGGGGGACAACAUCUCGAAAGGGAUGCUAAUACCGCAUACGUCCUACGGGAGAAAGCAGGGGAUCUUCGGACCUUGCGCUAAUAGAUGAGCCUAAGUCGGAUUAGCUAGUUGGUGGGGUAAAGGCCUACCAAGGCGACGAUCUGUAGCGGGUCUGAGAGGAUGAUCCGCCACACUGGGACUGAGACACGGCCCAGACUCCUACGGGAGGCAGCAGUGGGGAAUAUUGGACAAUGGGGGGAACCCUGAUCCAGCCAUGCCGCGUGUGUGAAGAAGGCCUUAUGGUUGUAAAGCACUUUAAGCGAGGAGGAGGCUACUUUAGUUAAUACCUAGAGAUAGUGGACGUUACUCGCAGAAUAAGCACCGGCUAACUCUGUGCCAGCAGCCGCGGUAAUACAGAGGGUGCGAGCGUUAAUCGUGAUUUACUGGGCGUAAAGCGUGCGUAGGCGGCUUAUUAAGUCGGAUGUGAAAUCCCCGAGCUUAACUUGGGAAUUGCAUUCGAUACUGGUGAGGCUUAGAGUAUGGGAGACGAUGGUAGAAUUCAGGGUGUAAGCG